rnacentral:rRNA from 1 species
GACGAACGCUGGCGGCGUGCCUAAUACAUGCAAGUCGAGCGAGCGGAACUAACAGAUUUACUUCGGUAAUGACGUUAGGAAAGCGAGCGGCGGAUGGGUGAGUAACACGUGGGGAACCUGCCCCAUAGUCUGGGAUACCACUUGGAAACAGGUGCUAAUACCGGAUAAGAAAGCAGAUCGCAUGAUCAGCUUUUAAAAGGCGGCGUAAGCUGUCGCUAUGGGAUGGCCCCGCGGUGCAUUAGCUAGUUGGUAAGGUAAAGGCUUACCAAGGCGAUGAUGCAUAGCCGAGUUGAGAGACUGAUCGGCCACAUUGGGACUGAGACACGGCCCAAACUCCUACGGGAGGCAGCAGUAGGGAAUCUUCCACAAUGGACGCAAGUCUGAUGGAGCAACGCCGCGUGAGUGAAGAAGGUUUUCGGAUCGUAAAGCUCUGUUGUUGGUGAAGAAGGAUAGAGGCAGUAACUGGCCUUUAUUUGACGGUAAUCAACCAGAAAGUCACGGCUAACUACGUGCCAGCAGCCGCGGUAAUACGUAGGUGGCAAGCGUUGUCCGGAUUUAUUGGGCGUAAAGCGAGCGCAGGCGGAAGAAUAAGUCUGAUGUGAAAGCCCUCGGCUUAACCGAGGAACUGCAUCGGGAACUGUUUUUCUUGAGUGCAGAAGAGGAGAGUGGAACUCCAUGUGUAGCGGUGGAAUGCGUAGAUAUAUGGAAGAACACCAGUGGCGAAGGCGGCUCUCUGGUCUGCAACUGACGCUGAGGCUCGAAAGCAUGGGUAGCAAACAGGAUUAGAUACCCUGGUAGUCCAUGCCGUAAACGAUGAGUGCUAAGUGUUGGGAGGUUUCCGCCUCUCAGUGCUGCAGCUAACGCAUUAAGCACUCCGCCUGGGGAGUACGACCGCAAGGUUGAAACUCAAAGGAAUUGACGGGGGCCCGCACAAGCGGUGGAGCAUGUGGUUUAAUUCGAAGCAACGCGAAGAACCUUACCAGGUCUUGACAUCUAGUGUCAUUUGUAGAGAUACAAAGUUCCCUUCGGGGACGCUAAGACAGGUGGUGCAUGGCUGUCGUCAGCUCGUGUCGUGAGAUGUUGGGUCAAGUCCCGCAACGAGCGCAACCCUUACUUCUAGUUGCCAGCACGUAAUGGUGGGAACUCUAGAGGGACUGCCGAUGAUAAAUCGGAGGAAGGUGGGGAUGACGUCAAAUCAUCAUGCCCUUUAUGUCCUGGGCUACACACGUGCUACAAUGGUCGGUACAGAGGGCAGCGAAAGAGCGAUCUCAAGCGAAUCUCAAAAAACCGAUCCCAGUUCGGAUUGCAGGCUGCAACUCGCCUGCAUGAAGUCGGAGUUGCUAGUAAUCGCAGAUCAGAAUGCUGCGGUGAAUGCGUUCCCGGGUCUUGUACACACCGCCCGUCACACCAUGGGAGUUGGCAAUACCCGAAGCCGGCGAGCUAACCGCAAGGAGGCAGCCGUCGAAGGUAGGGUUAAUGACUGGGGUGA